AUGAAGGCCAAGAAGUUGAGGGUGGCCGCCAUGGCCGCGCUGUGCGUGCACCUGCUCCUCGUGGAGCAGCAGCAGGUGGCUGCCAUGUCCGAGUUCUGCCACUGCUACGGAGACUGCUACUCCGAGUGCAGGCAGGACGCACCGCGCUGCCUCUGCCUCCCAUCCUGCGUCAACUACUGCAGCUCCAGCCCCGGCACCAGCCAGGCCAUUGUAGGCGACUACGGCGGCGCCACAUGCAGGAUGACCUGCAAGCUGGACCUGAGCGUCUGUGGCUGGUCGGUGGAGCCAGGCGAUGCAGCUGACACCGCAAUCUGUGUGCAAAACUGCAACAGGAAAUGGGGCCACAAGGCCAAUUGA
rnacentral:rRNA from 1 species